AAUGAACGUUGGCGGCGUGGAUUAGGCAUGCAAGUCGAGCGAGAAGGUCUCCUUCGGGAGACUGGACAGCGGCAAACGGGGUAGUAAGGCAUCGGUUACGCACCCCCAGGACCGGGAUAGCCGCGGGAAACUGCGGGUAAUACCGGAUAAUAUCUCCGGAUCAAAUGGUGAGAUUCCGCCUGGGGACCGGCUGAUGUGAUACCAGCUAGUUGGUUGGGUAACGGCUGACCAAGGCUUAGACGUCUAGGGGGUGUGAGAGCAUGGCCCCCACCACUGGGACUGAGACACUGCCCAGACACCUACGGGUGGCUGCAGUCGAGAUCUUCGGCAAUGGGCGAAAGCCUGACCGAGCGACGCCGCGUGCGGGAUGACGGCCCUU
rnacentral:rRNA from 1 species